GACGAACGCUGGCGGCGUGCUUAACACAUGCAAGUCGAACGGAAAGGCCCUGCUUUUGUGGGGUGCUCGAGUGGCGAACGGGUGAGUAACACGUGAGUAACCUGCCCUUGACUUUGGGAUAACUUCAGGAAACUGGGGCUAAUACCGGAUAGGAGCUCCUGCUGCAUGGUGGGGGUUGGAAAGUUUCGGCGGUUGGGGAUGGACUCGCGGCUUAUCAGCUUGUUGGUGGGGUAGUGGCUUACCAAGGCUUUGACGGGUAGCCGGCCUGAGAGGGUGACCGGCCACAUUGGGACUGAGAUACGGCCCAGACUCCUACGGGAGGCAGCAGUGGGGAAUAUUGCACAAUGGGCGGAAGCCUGAUGCAGCAACGCCGCGUGCGGGAUGACGGCCUUCGGGUUGUAAACCGCUUUCGCCUGUGACGAAGCGUGAGUGACGGUAAUGGGUAAAGAAGCACCGGCUAACUACGUGCCAGCAGCCGCGGUGAUACGUAGGGUGCGAGCGUUGUCCGGAUUUAUUGGGCGUAAAGGGCUCGUAGGUGGUUGAUCGCGUCGGAAGUGUAAUCUUGGGGCUUAACCCUGAGCGUGCUUUCGAUACGGGUUGACUUGAGGAUUUUAGGGGAGAAUGGAAUUCCUGGUGGAGCGGUGGAAUGCGCAGAUAUCAGGAGGAACACCAGUGGCGAAGGCGGUUCUCUGGGCCUUUCCUGACGCUGAGGAGCGAAAGCGUGGGGAGCGAACAGGCUUAGAUACCCUGGUAGUCCACGCUGUAAACGGUGGGUACUAGGUGUGGGGUCCAUUCCACGGGUUCCGUGCCGUAGCUAACGCUUUAAGUACCCCGCCUGGGGAGUACGGCCGCAAGGCUAAAACUCAAAGGAAUUGACGGGGCCCCGCACAAGCGGCGGAGCAUGCGGAUUAAUUCGAUGCAACGCGUAGAACCUUACCUGGGUUUGACAUGGAUCGGGAGUGCUCAGAGAUGGGUGUGCCUCUUUUGGGGUCGGUUCACAGGUGGUGCAUGGCUGUCGUCAGCUCGUGUCGUGAGAUGUUGGGUUAAGUCCCGCAACGAGCGCAACCCUUGUUCACUGUUGCCAGCACGUUAUGGUGGGGACUCAGUGGAGACCGCCGGGGUCAACUCGGAGGAAGGUGGAGAUGACGUCAAGUCAUCAUGCCCCUUAUGUCCAGGGCUUCACGCAUGCUACAAUGGCUGGUACAGAGAGUGGCGAGCCUGUGAGGGUGAGCGAAUCUCGGAAAGCCGGUCUCAGUUCGGAUUGGGGUCUGCAACUCGACCUCAUGAAGUCGGAGUCGCUAGUAAUCGCAGAUCAGCAACGCUGCGGUGAAUACGUUCCCGGGGCU
rnacentral:rRNA from 1 species